AGUAUUAUGUCUGAAAAAAGUAAUAAAUUGUAAAUUUAUAAAUGAAAUUAAAUUUUCUAAUACUA
rnacentral:tRNA from 1 species